GGCUGCAGCUGAUUGGUGUACGAAAAUGGCGUGAUCAAUGCACUUUUCUUAUUCCAUUUCGCAUGUCUUCUGCACACCUGUUAAGUGGCAUGUAAUAACAACUGAUCUUUGUGCGUUGCUGGAGCGGGUAUGGUAAAGAGGAGGUGGGCAAAAAUAUGUUUUCAUGUAGUAUUGGCUCUUCUAUGGAUUACGUGCGGCUAGUAUUUUGUGAAACCAAAAAAAAAAAAAAAAGAUUAACGGAAAACCAAUAGACGUAUUACUAGGAGUCCAGAUGAGGUAAGCAGCCAUCAUGACAAGUGUACCUGCAUACAAUUUGCAAGUGUAACACAGGAGAACAACUUCUAUGAACUGCGUGUCUGUUACUUGGGGAAAAAGAGGAAGGGGGUAAAGAGGAAGGACUUUGGAGAAAAUACAUAUGUUUCUAUAAUAUAGGCUCUACUAUAAAUUCUGCGCGCCUAAUACUUUAUGUAUACCACAUAAAAUUUUAACGGAAUACCCACUGAGCUCAGGAACACUAAGCAGGCAUCAAAGCAAGUGUAUUUUGAUGUUAUUUUGUACGUGCAACAAUACACUAAAUGAGUCUCAUACAAAUGCUUGCUGUGCGCCUGAUUUCAUAGGCGGCGUUUAUGGAUACAUUGGAGGUGGUCGAAAAUUUAUUUUCGUGUAUCAAAUAGGCUCUUCUAUGAUUUAUGCGCGCCUUAUACUUUGCGAAAAUAAAUAUUUUAAAUUUAAACAGAAAGCAUUUUGAUUGUAUUUUAGCGGAAUUUAUGCAAAGGUGUGAGAUGAUUUAAAAUUUGAUGUUUUACAUUGGAAUGCGGUUAUAUUUUGUUGUUUCUUUAAUGAGCUGUCGAACGCAGCUAAGUAAAUGGGAAUAUGAUAAAAGGAAGAGAGAUAUCACAAAUUUACAUGAGGUGGUGUCCUGGUACUUAUGUGAAAUUUCAUCAGCAGUAUUUGUCGGAAAAGAGGAGGUGGGCGAAAAAUAUUUUCAUGUAGUUCUAUGAAUUCUGCGCAAAUCAAAACAUCA